rnacentral:rRNA from 1 species
GAUGAACGCUAGCGGCAGGCUUAAUACAUGCAAGUCGAGGGGCAGCACAGAUAGCAAUAUUGGGUGGCGACCGGCAAACGGGUGCGGAACACGUACACAACCUUCCUUUUGGUGGGGGAUAGCCUGUGGAAACGGAGAUUAAUACCCCAUAAGAUAUGGUGACCGCAUGGUUAUGAUAUUAAAGAUUUAUUGCCAGAAGAUGGGUGUGCGUAUGAUUAGGUAGUUGGGGAGGUAAAGGCUCACAAAGCCGACGAUCAUUAACUGGUAGGAGGGCACGAGCAGUCACACGGGCAGUGAGACACGGGCCCGACUCCUACGGGAGGCAGCAGUAAGGAAUAUUGGUCAAUGGACGGAAGUCUGAACCAGCCAUGCCGCGUGGAGGAUGAAGGUCCUCUGGAUUGUAAACUUCUUUUAUAUGGGGCGAAAAAGGGCCAUUCUUGGUCAACUGACGGUACCAUAUGAAUAAGCACCGGCUAACUCCGUGCCAGCAGCCGCCGUAAAAC